CACGUAGGAGGCGAGCGUUGUCCGGAAUCAUUGGGCGUAAAGCGCGCGUAGGCGGUUUGGUAAGUCGGAUGUGAAAACCAGAGGCUCAACCUCUGGCCUGCAUCCGAUACUGCCGAGCUAGAGUGUGGGAGAGGGUAGUGGAAUUCCCGGUGUAGCGGUGAAAUGCGUAGAUAUCGGGAGGAACAUCAGUGGCGAAGGCGACUGCCUGGCCCAACACUGACGCUGAGGUGCGAAAGCGUGGGUAGCAAACAGG
rnacentral:rRNA from 1 species